rnacentral:rRNA from 1 species
GAUAAACGCUGGCGGCGCACAUAAGACAUGCAAGUCGAACGGACUUAACUCAUUCUUUUAGAUUGAGAGCGGUUAGUGGCGGACUGGUGAGUAACGCGUGAGUAACCUGCCUUAAAGAGGGGGAUAACGUCUGGAAACGGACGCUAAUACCGCAUAACAUAUUGUUUUCGCAUGGAGAUGAUAUCAAAGGAGCAAUCCGCUUUAAGAUGGACUCGCGUCCAAUUAGCUAGUUGGUGAGGUAACGGCCCACCAAGGCGACGAUUGGUAGCCGGACUGAGAGGUUGAACGGCCACAUUGGGACUGAGACACGGCCCAG